rnacentral:pre_miRNA from 1 species
GGAAGUUAAUAAACUGUUUCUUAACUUUUAACUAAAAAGCUAAGAACCGGUUUUUAAAUAAGGACUUUAAGAACCGGUUCUUAGUUUUUUUAGUUAAAAGUUAAGAAACAGUUUCUUAACUUCC